rnacentral:rRNA from 1 species
GACGAACGCUGGCGGCGUGCUUAACACAUGCAAGUCGAACGAUGAAGCUGGAGCUUGCUCUGGUGAAUUAGUGGCGAACGGGUGAGUAACACGUGAGUAACCUGCCCUUGACUCUGGGAUAACUGCGGGAAACUGUAGCUAAUACCGGAUACGACCCUCGGAGGCAUCUCCUGGGGGUGGAAAGAAUUUCGGUCAAGGAUGGACUCGCGGACGAUCAGCUAGUUGGUGAGGUAACGGCUCACCAAGGCGACGACGGGUAGCCGGCCUGAGAGGGUGACCGGCCACACUGGGACUGAGACACGGCCCAGACUCCUACGGGAGGCAGCAGUGGGGAAUAUUGCACAAUGGGCGCAAGCCUGAUGCAGCAACGCCGCGUGAGGGAUGACGGCCUUCGGGUUGUAAACCUCUUUUAGUAGGGAAGAAGCGAAAGUGACGGUACCUGCAGAAAAAGCACCGGCUAACUACCUGCCAGCCGCCGCAGUAA